rnacentral:tRNA from 1 species
GCUCCUGUAGUGUAGUCCGGCCCAUCAUUCUGGCUUCUCGAGCCAGGGACUCGGGUUCGAAUCCCGACGGGAGCA